UAAUUUUAUGUAUAAGCUAGU
rnacentral:miRNA from 9 species